GGUGGCUCAGUAGUAGAGUGUUUGCCUGGCAUGCAUGAGGCCCUGGGUUCAAUUCCUCAGCACCA
rnacentral:tRNA from 1 species